rnacentral:rRNA from 1 species
UACGAAGGGUGCAAGCGUUAAUCGGAAUUACUGGGCGUAAAGGGUGCGUAGGCGGUUGUUUAAGUCUGUCGUGAAAUCCCCGGGCUCAACCUGGGAAUGGCGAUGGAUACUGGACAGCUAGAGUGUGUCAGAGGAUGGUGGAAUUCCCGGUGUAGCGGUGAAAUGUGUAGAGAUCGGGAGGAACAUCAGUGGCGAAGGCGGCCAUCUGGGACAACACUGACGCUGAAGCACGAAAGCGUGGGGAGCAAACAGG